rnacentral:rRNA from 1 species
GAUCAUGGCUCAGGAUGAACGCUGGCGGCAUGCCUAAUACAUGCAAGUCGAACGAGAGGAAGGAAAGCUUGCUUUUCUGAAUCUAGUGGCGAACGGGUGAGUAACACGUAGGUAACCUGCCCAUGUGCCCGGGAUAACUUCUGGAAACGGAUGCUAAAACCGGAUAGGUAGCAGACAAGCAUUUGACUGCUAUUAAAGUGGCCUUGGCCAUGAACAUGGAUGGACCUGCGUG